rnacentral:rRNA from 1 species
UACAGAGGGUGCGAGCGUUAAUCGGAAUUACUGGGCGUAAAGCGCGCGUAGGCGGCUUUGCAAGCCGGAUGUGAAAUCCCCGGGCUUAACCGGGGAACUGCGUCUGAUACUGGAUGGCUUGAGGUUGGGAGAGGGAUGCGGAAUUCCAGGUGUAGCGGUGAAAUGCGUAGAUAUCUGGAGGAACACCGGUGGCGAAGGCGGCAUCCUGGACCAAUUCUGACGCUGAGGAGCGAAAGCCAGGGGAGCAAACGGG